UACAGCCAUAUCACAUUGAAACACCAGUUCUCAUAUGAUCACCAAAGUUAAGCAUCAUCAAUAUGUUCAGUACCUUGAUGAGUGACCACUUGGGAAUAUCAGGUGCUGCAAG